rnacentral:lncRNA from 1 species
UUUUGCUUUUUUAAAACAAUAAAGUGAGAGGACAAAUGGAAACUCAGAGGUGUUCUUAGGCAAAUAAAACCAGAAAAGUAUGUGGAUGAAAAUUAAGGGUCUGGAAAUCUGGUUGCCUGAAAAACCCAUGCUCAGUAUUCCUUGGAACUUUUUCACAGGCCCCUAUAGGUGAUUGCUUUUCUUCCCUAGGUGCUUUCCUGUCUUUACAAAUGACGCUUACAUCCAUUGUUUCAUUUGCUCUUGCCACAGUGGGUUGAGGGGGAGGGCAAGAGCUCCCAUGUCCAUUUUACAGUUGUGUAGACAGAGUUCAGGCAUAUUAGGUGACUGUUCCAGGGCCGUGGGGCUUUGGCCAAGAUUGAAAUAAUAUUGAUUAUUCAGAAAGAAAUGUAUCUAGAUAGAUAGAUUGUAAAUGAUUAUGUAAGUCUUGUUAGGGAUAAAGAUUUUCCACGUAAUAAAAAUGGAACUAAUAUAAAAUUAAAAUAUUUCACAGAAAAUCACAUAAUUCUAAAUUUAAAUGGGAGGUAACAUCAUGAUCUAUUUCUUUUUCUAGAAAAUGUCUGCUUCCUACCUUUGUUCUUUGGAAGGGCCUAGAAGCAACAACAACUCAGUAGCAGUGGCACCCUUAAUGCCCCCCAACUACUGGUUUACAAGAAGUGUGGAGUCUAAAGGGGCAUGUAAACAACACAGUAAAGAGGCAACCAGCUAAGAUAAGAAUAUGGAAAUUCUACAGGCCAAAUGCCCUAAUUGCUUCAACAAAUAAUGGCAUACAAGAGUCAAGGGAAAUAUGUUACAGAUAAAUAGUCAAAUACAAUGUGCAGACCUUGUUUGCAUCCUACUUUAAGCAAAAUAACUAUAAAAUGACACUUUUGACACAAUCUGGGAAAUUUAAACAGACUGUAUAAAAUGAUAUUCAGUAAAUAUUGUUUUUUAGGUAUUAUAAUGGUAUGGGGUUAUGAAAAAUACAUUCAACUAUUCAGGAUAUAUAUAUUCAAGUAUAUACAGACAAGAUCAGAUGAUGUUUGGAACCUGCUUUAAAAUAAUGCAGCAUUCUGCCAUCCUGUAUCUUUUAAGAGGAACAUUUAGACAGUUUACAUUCAACAUUCAUAUUAAGAUGUGAGGUACUAGUCUCUUAUUCAUGUUGUUACCUAGAUAGUUUUGUUGUUGUUGUGUUAUUGUUUUAUAGGCCCUAUGAGUUUUAAGCUUUCAAGAGGUUCUAUUUUGGUGCAUGUCGGGCUUCAAGAGACUCAACCUAACAUGGAAGGAUUUAUAUAAACUCAAGCCAUGUAAGACACGCCUGCUUCCUCUUCACCUUCCACCGUGAUUGUAAGUUUCCUGAGGUCUCCCCAGAAGCAGAAGCUGCUAUGCUUCCUGCAUAGCCUGCAGAACUAUGAACCAAUUAAACCUCUUUUCUUUAAAAUUA